GGGAAUUUCUUUGUUUUCUAAAUUUACUGAGGUAAAAAAAGUUGAUUAUCAGUAAAACACCUGUUCUUGGUAAUUUCAUAUUGAAAUUUGUAUUUUUAACUAUAGAUUCUGAUCCUUAAAGGUGCUUACUUUUCUGGGGAUUAAUUACCUUUUUGGAUUUUGGGUCUUUUUGGGGACUUUCUAAAUUUAUUGAGGUUCAAUCUGAGUAACACAGCGGGUUUACCUUUUUGGAUUUUGGGUCUUUUUUGGGACUUGCUAAAUUUAUUGAGGUUCAAUCUGAGUAAACAGCAGGUAAUCGCUGUAAAAUUUUUGUUCUUGAUAACUGGUGAAGAGGUUGAUUGGAUCAUCAUGGAUCAUGUUGU
rnacentral:lncRNA from 1 species